ACACACACAUCUGGCGUGUGUGUGUGUGUCGCCCCAAGCAGGAGAAAAAGAGGAGAAACCCUAAAAUCCUUGAAGUUGCAAAAUUGAGAAGGGAAAUUGAAGCUAAUCAUAUGCAUGAAUCUGAAUGUGCAACCAUUUAAGCCUACUAAUCAAGUGGCAUAGGGAUCAUGUGGAAAUGGACUCAAGAACGGAAGGUUAACGGGUCAAGCGGAGGCAAGGAAGCAAGCAUGAACACUAACGCUCGAGGUAUACAAAUAAUGGAAGUUGUAGGUUUGACACUAAAAUCCAAUGAUGGUGUUCGAAUGGAUGGAUGAAUGGAUUAACAUAAGCGAAAGCAUGAGAUGUCGACGCCUAACUAUGUAUGUUUAAAACUUAUGUAUGAUGUGACUGGUUGCUAACGAUGUGAUUGUAUGUGGUGUCUACAGGUUGCGUGGAUUUAGCAUCAUUAUGAAGGAUAGAAAGAUUGAAGAUCGAGUCAAGAGCAAAGGAUUGUACGGGAAAGAUCGGUCACAUAGUUUAGCAAAUGUAGGUCCGAAGUAUUAAUAUAAUGGAACGUGGUAAAUCCUUUUUAAUGAAUGUAUGACAUUUGAUAUUCGAACUUUCCUGUAAGUACUAUGUCUAUUAAAGAACGAAAUUUAGAAGGGAACUU